GCUGGGUCUGUAAUAUUAUACACUACAUUUAUUUUAAGUGUUGAUGGAAACUGGGUACAGAAAGUUAUUUAAAACUCAAAAACAAUAGAAAAAGUUUGCUUCUAUAUUUAUAAACUUUGCAUUUGUAAAUUCAGUAUAAACCUUAACACAUACCGAAUGAAUUAUCAGUAGAUAAUUUAAUGAAUGUAAAUUUCUUGUAUCUAAGUGAAUAAAUUAAAUAAAUAAACAAAACAAAACAAGGUAAAAGACAAUUAAUCAAUGAAAAUUAUCCACAACGCAACCCAGCACCAUGUAUAGAUGAUUGUAAUUCAGGCAUGAUUUAGAUUGCCAAAUAAGAAUCCCCUGCCUGCUGUUUUAUGUGGGGCUUGCAUUUCAUAAGUUUCAUCAUUCACAUCAUUGAUAAUGUUUAUUUAGAAAACCUCAAGUACUAAUAUAAAAGAAGCAAAAUAUAAAAAAAAACAAAGCUUAUCUAAGGAAAAGAAGUCUUCACUUACAAUUAUAUCUCUCAAUAAUGUAGAAGUUAUUUCCCUUAUUUGAUAUCAAACAAAAAUAAUUCAUUUCCAAUAAUUAAUUGACUAUUUGGUACAUUUUGUAAUUGAUUUAUGUUUUGUUAACCACAAUAAAUAAUUGAAUGGGUGUGGUAAAAGUAACGUUUUCAAUUAUCUAAGGGGACAAGACUCUAGAUAUUUAGCCAUAUAGGUGAAUUUUUUUUUUUUGAUUCAUGUCUUGACUCUUGACUAUGCCAAAAAAUAAUAAUUGUACAAACUUUUUACCAGACAGAGUUGAUAUAAAAUUUUGUUACAAAAAAAAAAAAAAAAGAA